GGCGGAGUAUAAUUAGAGUUACAAACUGUGUUGAGUGCUGGAAUGGAGAGUGGGAGGGAUAUUUUUUUUUGAAGUUAAAAUUAGGUAUUUAUUUUGUUCCACUCCACUAAGGCAAGAUAUCCCUGGUUAGGUGAAGUCAGGUAUCUCCAAGGAAAGGAGAGGAAGUAGGAAAAAUACCAGAGUGGGGGCUAGAGGAGGGAGAGCUAGGGAGGUGAGGGGAAAGGGGCAGCCUGCGAGGGGGCUUCAGGAGCCUGGGCAGUUACAGCAGGCUUUAGCCUGAGGGCUCAGGAAGCCACUGAAAGGUUUUAAGUAGGGAGUGACAUACCAGAUUUGCAUUUUAAAAAGAUGGCUCCCGCUCAGGACUGGAGGGGGUGUGACCAGUUGGACCAGAGCUAGGUGAGAGAUGACAGGCCAAAGGCUUAGGAGAAAGGGGGCAGGAACUUGGUGACCUCUGGAGCUGGGGACCAAAGAGGCCAGUGAAGUUGAGGAUUUGGGAAAAGCAUCUCCUGUCUGGGAUGGGCUCACCAGAUGUUCCCCAGAUGUUGCUGGUGAUGAGAAACAUCUUCCUCUGGGAUCCCAAGCCUUUGAGGAUGAAGGAGAUGAGCCUUUUUGGCAGUCACACAUGUGGAACUUAAUCCUGGUUUGCUUUGUAACUUGAUUGAUAGUAUGUUUUAUCAUGCGAAAGUUUAACAGUUUUAUGUAGCCAAAGUUCUUAGAUAUUUACCUUAGGGAUCCUGGUUUUUGUGUGCUGCAUUCCCUAUCAUAAUAUUACAAUAAAUUCACCUAUUCUUUUCUCA
rnacentral:lncRNA from 1 species